GCGCCGGCCGGCGCAGCGCCACCACCAUGCAAGGCAUGAGUUACAAAUUCCUACUGCAUAAGCACAAUGUCUGUAUGAAAUAAAGUGUCCUUCUUGCCUGCUGCCGGCCAGAGAAAGCGUGCGCAUAAUGUGUGGUCGUCGUCAGUGUUCAUGAGUUAAGCCUCAUAUAUACUGUGUAUCUGAUACUGGUGUCCAAGGAUAUGCUUGGAACCCCUGUUUAAUGGAAGUAUAAAUUUCCGU
rnacentral:lncRNA from 1 species